GGCAGCGUAGCUCAGUGGUAGAGCAGGGGACUCAUAAGCCCUUGGUCACUGGUUCAAAUCCAGUCGCUGCCACCA
rnacentral:tRNA from 1 species